AACGAACGCUGGCGGCAUGCCUAACACAUGCAAGUCGAACGAGACCUUCGGGUCUAGUGGCGCACGGGUGCGUAACGCGUGGGAACCUGCCCUUAGGUUCGGAAUAACUCCCCGAAAGGGGUGCUAAUACCGAAUAAUGUCUUCGGACCAAAGAUUUAUCGCCUUUGGAUGGGCCCGCGUUGGAUUAGCUAGUUGGUAGGGUAAAAGCCUACCAAGGCGACGAUCCAUAGCUGGUCUGAGAGGAUGGUCAGCCACACUGGGAGUGAGACACGGCCCGGACUACUACGGGAGGCAGCAGUGGGGAAUAUAGGAAAAUGGCCGAAAGCCUGAACCAGUACUGCCGCGAGAGUGAUGAAGGCCUUAGGGUUAAAAAGCUCUUUUACACGGGAUUAUAAUGACGGUACCGGAAGAAUAAGCACCGGCUAACUCCGUG
rnacentral:rRNA from 1 species